rnacentral:rRNA from 1 species
CCUACGGGGCGCAGCAGUGGGGAAUAUUGGACAAUGGGCGAAAGCCUGAUCCAGCCAUGCCGCGUGUGUGAAGAAGGCCUUCGGGUUGUAAAGCACUUUCAGUGGGGAAGAAAGCCUUGGGGCUAAUACCCUCGAGGAAGGACAUCACCCACAGAAGAAGCACCGGCUAACUCCGUGCCAGCAGCCGCGGUAAUACGGAGGGUGCGAGCGUUAAUCGGAAUUACUGGGCGUAAAGCGCGCGUAGGCGGUCUGAUAAGCCGGUUGUGAAAGCCCCGGGCACAACCUGGGAACGGCAUCCGGAACUGUCAGGCUAGAGUGCAGGAGAGGAAGGUAGAAUUCCCGGUGUAGCGGUGAAAUGCGUAGAGAUCGGGAGGAAUACCAGUGGCGAAGGCGGCCUUCUGGACUGACACUGACGCUGAGGUGCGAAAGCGUGGGUAGCAAACAGGAUUAGAUACCCCGGUAGUC